GACGAACCACACAAACGUUAUUCGGCAUUACUGGGCUUAAAGGGUGCGUAGGCGGCGCAGAAAGUAGGGUGUGAAAUCCCUCGGCUCAACCGAGGAACUGCGCCCUAAACUACUGUGCUCGAGGGAGGUAGAGGUGAGCGGAACUUAGGGUGGAGCGGUGAAAUGCGUUGAUAUCCUAAGGAACACCGGUGGCGAAAGCGGCUCACUGGACCUCUUCUGACGCUGAGGCACGAAAGCUAGGGUAGCGAACGGG
rnacentral:rRNA from 1 species